rnacentral:rRNA from 1 species
GACGAACGCUGGCGGCGUGCUUAACACAUGCAAGUCGAACGGAAAGGCCCUGCUUUUGUGGGGUGCUCGAGUGGCGAACGGGUGAGUAACACGUGAGUAACCUGCCCUUGACUUUUGUAUAACUUCAGGAAACUGGGGCUAAUACCUGCUAGUCUCUCCUGCUUCAUGGUGGGGUUUGGAAAGUUUCGGCGGUUGGGGAUGGACUCGCGGCUUAUCAGCUUUUUGGUGGGGUAUUGGCUUACCAAGGCUUUGACGGGUAGCCGGCCUGAGAGGGUGACCGGCAAAAUUGGGACUGAGAUACGGACCAGACUCCUACGGGAGGCAGCAGUGGGGAAUAUUGCAAAAUGGGCGGAAGCCUGAUGCAGCAACGCCGCGUGCGGGAUGACGGCCUUCGGGUUGUAAACCGCUUUCGCCUGUGACGAAGCGUGAGUGACGGUAAUGGGUAAAGAAGCACCGGCUAACUACGUG